GUGGCACGAUCGACGGGUGCUUGUCGGGGCACCUCGAUACUCAGGGACAAUCGGCUUGAGGUGACCACAGCUCUUUUUGUGCACAUCCUGCAAAUCCAAGGCACCUGUUACUGAGGGACCCACCUGUUAACCUCUGUCUGUACCUCUGCAGGGAGUGCUCCUGGCUGGCUAAAGGAGAGGUUAUUCUGACAGAAGUGGGAAAGGAAAUAAAGAACUAUGAACCACCAUUCUUUACGCAGAAUCUGGCCUAACCUCCAAGGAAUAAUCUUCAAAAGAACUUGCUUCUAGAUGUUGGGAUAAAGGUGAGGAAUUGAUUAUCAAUCCUGUGCUGAAACAGAGCAAGAGGCAAAAAUCAG